GGACCCGGGUGGUGUGGAGCGGAGUGGAGGGAACCAUCAUGGACUGCUGCAGAGCGGGGAAGACACAAACACACACGUCCAGCUACCCUGUCCCAGCUAAAGAAAAGCAGGGAUGAUGCCACCAAACAAACCACUGAGACCUUCACCUGGAUUUAUACUGUGAUUAAUACACAAAGAGAGAGAAAAAAGAAGAACAAGCGAAUCGAGUCAUCCACCGUCAUUGUUGGGUAGAAGGACAUCAGCUGGUUGAGGUAAGAAAAAACAAAGAAUACAGAUGUGGGAAAGAAAGAUUUUCUGAUAGGUCAAAGAAGCUCAAGAUUUCAAACUAAAGUAAACUGUAGAUCUCAGCCAAACCAUGCAAAAACAAGCCUGUUUUUAUUCAGAUGCCUGCUUCAGGGUGGAGGCUAUAAGUAGAGGUGUCAAUGCUAAGCCAUGUUUGACCAGUAAGGUUAUUUCUGUUAUAAUCUUUGUGAGUUAGUAGGUCACCCAGUAAAGCUGCAUAGUCAUUCUGUGCAGCCUCAUGGUUUCCUGUUUCUGUUGCUGUACGCUUCAGAAGAAGGUCAGCAACUUCACACAUAGGUGAGCAUGAUCCUAAAGAAGUUUCACAACCCGCUGUAAAACUUCCUUAUCUGACUUUAGUAAGAAAAAUGGCAAAACUAAAUGGCAUUUAGUUUGAAUGUAAAUGGCUAAAGAUAUAAAGUAUGCUUUUAUAUUAUGGAAACCUUGACAUCAACAGAAAACAUCCCACCUUUACUGUUUUUGAGACAUUUUUCCUUCUCUUCAUCAUCUGUCUCAAUGUUUCAACAUUUGCCAGGUAUCUGUUACAUGAAAAUAAGCAGCAACAUCUGGAAGCAGUUUUGCUGGGUACAUUGGUUGUUUUAUGCAGAUUGUGUCAUCACUAUAACAAGAAAAAUGCAUAGGCCUUAUCCUUCAUAAUGUAGGCAAACCUGUCUUCUACGUGAAGCACUUCCAGAAGUGAGUUAAACAUGUAUGUAAAAUAAAUAUUGCACCACACCUAAACAGAUCACACUGUAGGCGUAUUCCUGCAAUCUGACUGAAUUCACUGCAGAUAUUAAGCCGAGCUCCGUGUAAGGUCGUUUGUGUCAUCCAUGUGCUCUGUGCAUGAUCAUAAAUAAUUUGAUUUAGGUCCAGUUUGCUCUUAUAGUAUAAAAAAACAUGAAGUCUCACACAAACAGAGGUAAAUGUGUCCCGCUCCAACAUCCACAUACGUCGGCCACAGUAAACUGAUUAAUCUGAACUGGCUGCCUGAAGUUUUCCCACACCCGGUGAGGCUCAGAGUGACCUGUAUUGCAAAUUACUUCCUGUUUGACUUGGAGGUCGACAAUAUUGUCCUGGAUGAGCCGAAACUCUCUAAAUUCACAUCCUGUCCUGGGGAUUGCUCAAUCCACAUUUCCCCCUUAUACUUGUCCGUUCAGGUAAUCCCAGAGGUUUUCCUCUGAAAACUCUUUAAUUCGUGACAGAUUCACU